rnacentral:rRNA from 1 species
ACUCAAAGGAAUAGACGGGGGCCCGCACAAGCAGUGGAGUAUGUGGUUUAAUUCGAAGCAACGCGAAGAACCUUACCAGGUCUUGACAUCCAACGAAUCCCUUAGAGAUAGGGGAGUGCCUUCGGGAGCGUUGAGACAGGUGGUGCAUGGUUGUCGUCAGCUCGUGUCGUGAGAUGUUGGGUUAAGUCCCGCAACGAGCGCAACCCUUACCAUUAGUUGCUACGCAAGAGCACUCUAAUGGGACCGCUACCGACAAGGUGGAGGAAGGUGGGGACGAGGUCAAAUCAUCAUGCCCUUUAUGACCUGGGCUACACACGUACUACAAUGGCCGCCAACAACGGGACGCGAACCCGCGAGGGGAAGCAAACCCCCAAAAGCGGCCUCAGUUCGGAUCGCAGGCUGCAACCCGCCUGCGUGAAGUCGGAAUUGCUAGUAAUCGCGGAUCAGCAUGCCGCGGUGAAUACGUUCCCGGGCCUUGUACACACCGCCCGU